CUCAGACAAGCCGUUCCAGCCUUUGAGCCAAUGCAAGGAUUGCUGCAUGCCAUAAAGGAUUACUGGAGAACGGAUACUUUGCUACUUUACAAGUGGACCAUAUCUCUGAACUAUUGGAGGACUACACAUAUUAACCUUAAGUAUAUCUUUCAGCUAUCUGUCUACAAUAUCCUUUAAUAAUGAACUAAUGCUUGCUUACUCAAAUCUUCACUGCUUCAAGCUACUAUGGAGGACAACUCCCAUCAUGUUUAUUCACUAUGAACUGUUUCUUGCUUUGCAAAGACACUCAAUGCUACAAACUACUAAUCAUAUGGAGGACAACUCCCAUCAUGUUUAUUCACUAUGAACUGUUUCUUGCUUUGUAAAGACACUCAAUGCUUCAAGCUACUAAUUAUAUGGAGGACAACUCCCAUCGUGCUUAUUUACUAUGAACUGUUCUUGCUUUGCAAAUAUUCUUAGCUACUUGCUUAAAGUUACUAUUGAAGAUUAUUC